rnacentral:rRNA from 1 species
CCUACGGGUGGCAGCAGUAGGGAAUCUUCCACAAUGGGCGAAAGCCUGAUGGAGCAACGCCGCGUGGGUGAAGAAGGUCUUCGGAUCGUAAAACCCUGUUGUUAGAGAAGAAAGUGCGUGAGAGUAACUGUUCACGUUUCGACGGUAUCUAACCAGAAAGCCACGGCUAAAUACGUGCCAGCAGCCGCGGUAAUACGGAGGUGGCAAGCGUUAUCCGGAAUUUUUGGGGGUAAAGGCAACGCAGGCGGUCUUUUAAGUCUGGUGUGAAAGCCGUGGGCUUAAACGGAGUUGGGCAUUGGAAACUGGGAGACUUGAGUGUAGAAGAGGAGAGUGGAACUCCAUGUGUAGCGGUGAAAUGCGUAGAUAUAUGGAAGAACACCAGUGGCGAAAGCGGCUCUCUGGUCUGUAACUGACGCUGAGGUUCGAAAGCGUGGGUAGCAAACAGGAUUAGAUACCCUUGUAGUC